AAUUUAGACUGCAGGAGAGUAAAAGUGAGUAGAGGAAAUAAAUGAUUUGCAGGUCCUGCACCACCUGUGAUAAACACACACAGGUGAUUCUAUUUAAUUAGUCUGAUUAGACCUCUUAUCAGGACUGUUUAAACAUGCACCUCCCUCAUGCUUAUGUUGGGUUUGUUAGGGCAGGAAAAACCAAACAUACUUUAUCACAGAACCACAAUAACAAACAGUAAGAGCAGAUAUAUACCAGGAGUGCAAACUUUAAAAAAUAAAUAAAUAAAUGAAAAACAAAAAAGGUUCAGUGCUUCGACAACUAUAUAGUUCAUAUACUCUGAUCAGCCACAACAUUAAAACCACUGACAGGUGAAGUGAAUACCAUUGAUCAUUUUGUUACAAUACUGUGUUCUGCUGGGAAAACUUGGGUCCAGACUUUAAUCUGGAUGUUGCUUUGACACUUUGACCCCCCCAAGGUCCCCUGUUCAUGCCCUGAUGGGUCAGAGCUGUUUUGGGAGCACAAGGGGGACCUACACAAUAUUAGGGAGGUCCCACAGGUGCUGGAUGAUUGUAAUGAGAUGAUCAGUGUUAUUCACUCCACCUGUCAGUGGCUGUAGUGUUGUGGCUGAUCAGUGUGUGUGGAGAGUUUGUAAGGGUUUGGAAUCAUCCAUUGGGAGCAUCCAUUACGAGAGCAAAUUCUUCUGGGCUGACUGCUCAGACUCAGACCGGGCGUUCCGGGUUCACAGGAGCAGAGGCGUGUGUUCUCCAGCCGGCUCCAUGCGCCUGGUGAGCUGCUGCACGCGGGCCAGGAAGCGGUUGGGCAGCGAGGGGAAGUGGUGGCUCGGGUCCAGGACGUUGGUCUUGCGGCGCUCGCGUUCCUGCAGCCACAUGAGGGCUUUGGGGACCCUGACACUUUUUUUCGUACCAAGAGGAGUGAAGAGGACGGUGGAGGCGAUGAGGAAGCCGAGCAUCAGGCCCACCACGACGACG